AUUUUCUCUUUGGUCUCCUUCAUUGAUGAUGAAUGCAACAAAUACAAGAAAUAGGUCUCCUUUCACUCCAACUCAGUGGCAAGAGCUUGAGCACCAGGCUCUCAUCUACAAAUACAUGGUCUCAGGUGUUCCUAUCCCACCUGAACUCAUCUAUUCUGUCAAAAGAAGCUUGGAGUCUUCUUUGGCUUCAAGACUCUUUCCUCACCAACCUAUAGGGUGGGGUUGUUUUCAGGUGGGUUUUGGCAGAAAAGCAGACCCAGAGCCAGGGAGGUGCAGAAGAACAGAUGGGAAGAAAUGG
rnacentral:misc_RNA from 1 species